rnacentral:rRNA from 1 species
GACGAACGCUGGCGGCGUGCUUAACACAUGCAAGUCGAACGAAGAGCGAUGGAAGCUUGCUUCUCUCAAUCUUAGUGGCGAACGGGUGAGUAACGCGUAAUCAACCUGCCCUUCAGAGGGGGACAACAGUUGGAAACGACUGCUAAUACCGCAUACGAUCUAACCUCGGCAUCGAGGAUAGAUGAAAGGUGGCCUCUACAUGUAAGCUAUCACUGAAGGAGGGGAUUGCGUCUGAUUAGCUAGUUGGAGGGGUAACGGCCCACCAAGGCGAUGAUCAGUAGCCGGUCUGAGAGGAUGAACGGCCACAUUGGGACUGAGACACGGCCCAGACUCCUACGGGAGGCAGCAGUGGGGAAUCUUCCGCAAUGGACGAAAGUCUGACGGAGCAACGCCGCGUGAGUGAUGACGGCCUUCGGGUUGUAAAGCUCUGUUAAUCGGGACGAAAGGCCUUCUUGCGAAUAGUGAGAAGGAUUGACGGUACCGGAAUAGAAAGCCACGGCUAACUACGUG